rnacentral:rRNA from 1 species
GGGCACGCUGACGACGAUGUCGGACGUCGGGUCGAGGGGCAAGGGGGCGUCAGGGCAGACGACCGACGAGGCGCUCUGGCGCUGGCGCGGCUCCUUGCGGCUGAGCGCGUCGACGAGACGCGGGGUGACGAAGAGCGGUUGCGCCGCUGCACGGCGUCGGUCCGACGACGAAGCGAAGCGGGGCCCAUUUAAGAACCUGGUCCACAACAGAAGGAAGGAAAGUGACCACCCUCCGUAUCUACUUAGUUUGGUGACUAAACCUUAUAACAACAGGACAGACUUUCAAUAGAAUGCCUCUUCCACGGAUAAUUCAACUCAAAGACGUAAAAGAAGUUCACUGCUUAAUGUCACCCACGAGGUUAUACAGAUACGUGGGAUACAGCGAGAGGAAUGUUGGGAAGUGACGUUUAAGUUAUUUGUUUAUAAGAAAUUCCUCGUGAUCAUGCUUAAUACUGGCACCAAAAUAUUUCAACAACGGUUAACCUUCUUCAUCACCUGUAACCCGGUGUUUAAAGUCUGGUUUAAGACACAGAUCCGGACUUUGAAGACAUCCUGUACUAACACAUCACCCUCUCUUACUACCACACUAGUAUCAACUAGUGCCCAGUGCAGCUGUUCUUAGAUUAGAGUACGAUGUACUAAAACAAUCGUACAAGUUCCGGUCCUGAACGAUGUUAUAACAACUCGGACGAGUGUACCUCGACCGACUCGGAUGAUAAUUCCUUCGUAAACCUUUUACACACGUCGUCCCUCGUAGAGCCCAAUAACAGUGAGGUAUAAAGGAAAGGGGACCUGCUGUGACCUUCGUUCUAUAAGGAAGAAAUCGUAGUCUUCGGAGAUUUCUCGUGAGCUCCCAUGGGAUGUAGUAGUGCCGAGGAGAACCUAAUGUACUCGAAUACCACCUAUAAUACUUACUAGCGUAGUUUAUGACGGACUCCGUGCGACGUCCACCUCAGCUUCGUACACGCCAUACACGGCCCUGACCUUUCACGGCGAAAAUGAGAACUACCCUUUCUGUUGCCUCCGAUGAAACGAGUCGUCAGGAUAUAGCUAUUAAAACCUUUAACAUAUGUGGUUGGAACAAAGAGCGUUUACUCGCCGAGUUUACGGACUCUGGGGUUCAAACUAAAACACGUUCAAUUUGGGACAAGGUACGGUACAAUGUCUUGGAUAACAACAAUUGUUCAAAAUAGCUACCUACAGUUGCCAAACAAGUCAAACAUCUAUAUCUUACACAUUUAAACAGUCCAUUCUACACUUACUUUGUAAUUGGCUUCACUUCCUGUAGGCCUCUAAAAACUCUUUAAGAUCUGGGAAACGGGGCUAGGUCG